rnacentral:misc_RNA from 1 species
AAAAAAAAAACAUAGAUUCAAUGAGAAACUAAAGACUGCUGAAAAUACUUUGGUUGAUGAUAUCUUUCCCAAAAUUAAAAACAAUGCAUUCACCAACUAGAAAUUAAAGGAUACGGAUAAAGAGAUCCGGUGAACUAGAAUGAAAUGCAUCAGCAUUUUACAAUCCAAUAUAGGCAGUACACAAAUGACUGAUAAAAUUAUUGCGAGGCAGAUAGCAAUAAGCAGACCGGCUGCCAAUACCUUCAUUAGAAACAAAAUUCAGACGUUAGAAUCACCUACAUCAUUGCUUAAUGACAUUCUCCACAUACCACUUGUAAGUAUCAAUGAGCCCGUCCUUAAGUGAAAUCUUAGGCAUCCACCCCAACCCCAACAGCUUAGAGCUAUCCAUAAGCUUUCUGGGAGUUCCAUCUGGCUUUGAUGUAUCCCAAACAAGCUCGCCUUCAAACCCCACCACUUCCUUCAUUGACUCUGCCAACUCCUUGAUCGUUACCUCCUUCCCACUCCCCACAUUUACAUGCUCCAGCCCACUAUAGCUCUCCAUCAAAAACACCACCGCAUCUGCCAAAUCAUCCACAUGUAGAAAUUCCCUCAGUGGACUCCCUGUUCCCCACACCACCACCUCCUUUGCCCCAUUCACCUUUGCCUCGUGAAACCUCCUCAUCAAAGCCGGGAGAACAUGAGAAUUUUCUGGAUGGAAGUUAUCAUUUGGACCAUACAAAUUGGUGGGCAUCCCAGAAAUUGCAUCCCAGUUGUACUGAAUUCUGU